rnacentral:lncRNA from 11 species
CAGCAAGAGGCAUUUAUAAAAUGUUAGUGUUAAAGAAAGUAUCCUGGUGUGGCUGACAUGAGGAUGACAACACAUUUACUGUAUCUGCCUCGACUUCCUAUUCAAGAUGAAAACUAUCAUCUCUCAUAGCAAAUGGGGUUUCCUCUCUGCCUGAACAUCUACCACCAC